UACAGAGGGGGCAAGCGUUGUUCGGAAUUACUGGGCGUAAAGGGCGCGUAGGCGGCCUUCUAAGUCGAACGUGAAAUCCCUGGGCUCAACCCAGGAACUGCGUCCGAUACUGGAAGGCUUGAAUCCGGGAGAGGGAUGCGGAAUUCCAGGUGUAGCGGUGAAAUGCGUAGAUAUCUGGAGGAACACCGGUGGCGAAGGCGGCAUCCUGGACCGGUACUGACGCUGAGGUGCGAAAGCGUGGGGAGCAAACAGG
rnacentral:rRNA from 1 species